GGAACAGAAGGGAGGAGAUAAAAAGAAGGAGCUGACAGUGUGAGGGGGAGACAGUCUGUCAAUGUGACCCUUGCUGUCAUUCUGAAAGGAUUGUUUUGGUAGCAAAUGACAGAAACCAUCCCGGAGACGUAAACAAGAAGACGGUAUUGGGAGGAUCCUGGAGAUGCUGGCAGCCUCUAGGAGCUAAAAAAGACCCACUUUUUCCUCAUGGCUGGAACUGCGUCCACCUGCAACUCCUGAACCUCACGUUCCAGAGGAGAAAGUUUGCCUCUCUCUCUGUCCGGUUUGCAAAGCCCCAGGGAAGGACUAUUAAUGGCUUGCCUUGUGUGGCAGAUGCUGUUGGUGCCCCACCUACACCCCUGGGCUCCUCACUCACUGCUCCUCUGCACGCACAACAAGCUUCCUGCUGCCAGCCCUGUGGCUCUUGGCCUGGCCUUUCUCUGGCCACUAUGGUGAGCUCUGCCUCAGGCCAGCUGGAAAUGCUAGGAAGUCAACCGUGGAGGUGAAAGUCCAGGCAGUGGGCUAUCAAUCAAUGGCUGACCGGAGUUGGUGGACAAAGACCUGAGCUCCCUUGCCCCAUGGGUGGGAGAAGUCUAAAGAGUGCUCUCCAGGGGCUGGUGCAGUGGUGAAGUGGUUAAGCGCGCGUGCUCAGUUGCGGGGCUCGAGGUUCACAGGCUCGGAUCCAGGCACGGACCUAGCACCACUCAUCAAGCCAUGCUGUGGCAGCAUCCCACAUAAAAUAGAGGAAGGUGGGCACAGAUGUUAGCUCAGCGACAAUCCUCCUCAGGGAAAAAGAGGAAGAUUGACAACGGAUGUUAGCUCAGGGCCAAUCUUCCUCACAAAAAUGAAAAAUACAAGAGUGCUCUCUACAACCCCCCUGAGGUCCCCGGCAGGACUGAGUCCCAGGUGCUCACAGUGGAAACCUGCUUGUUGGUGCUCCCUGUGUUGACUUCCGUCCCUUCCCCAUAUCACUGUCCCAGGCCCCUGCUGGUGCCACCUGGGGCUAGCUACCAAAUAAACUGCUUGUCCUCAAAUUCUUCCUCAGGGUCUGCUUCUGGGGCAUCUUAAUCUAAGACACUGUAGGCCAGGUGCUUAUCCCUGGACCAAUCAUAGCAGCGUGGAGGUGGGGGUGAGGGGCCCUCAGUAAGUACGAGCAUAGCAGCUCUUACUGGAAACACAUGGUUGAUAUGGGGGG
rnacentral:lncRNA from 1 species